rnacentral:rRNA from 1 species
CAAUAGCGUAUAUUAAAGUUGUUGCAGUUAAAAAGCUCGUAGUUGGAUUUCUGGUGGGAGCGAUCGGUCUGGCGCUUAGCGCGAGUACUUGCAUCGUCUCCGGCCAUCCUUGGGGAGAGUCUGUCUGGCAUUAGGUUGUCGGGCAGAGGAUCCUCAUCGUUUACUGUGAAAAAAUUAGAGUGUUCAAAGCAGGCUUAUGCCGUUGAAUAUAUUAGCAUGGAAUAAUAAGAUAGGACUUUGGUACUAUUUUGUUGGUUUGCGCACCAAAGUAAUGAUUAAUAGGGACAGUUGGGGGUAUUCGUAUUCCGUUGUCAGAGGGGAAAUUCUUGGAUUUACGGAAGACGAACUACUGCGAAAGCAUUUACCAAGGAUGUUUUCAUUAA